rnacentral:rRNA from 1 species
UACGUAGGGUGCGAGCGUUGUCCGGAAUUAUUGGGCGUAAAGAGCUCGUAGGCGGUGUGUCACGUCGGCCGUGAAAACCUGCAGCUUAACUGUGGGCGUGCGGUCGAUACGGGCAUCACUGGAGUUCGGCAGGGGAGACUGGAAUUCCUGGUGUAGCGGUGAAAUGCGCAGAUAUCAGGAGGAACACCGGUGGCGAAGGCGGCAUUCUGGACCGAUAUUGACGCUGAGGAGCGAAAGCCAGGGGAGCAAACGGG